AGGGAAAGACUCCCAGAACUUUCAGCAUGUCUCCUCUCGCCUUUACACCACCAAAGAGAUAUGGGAACACGUCCAUGUAGCUGCGGAGACACUCGAGGGGCUGUUUGGGAUUGAUGCCAAGGAGCAUCAUGGAAAGGACCACUGCUGGUUGUGGUGACCACCAACCAGCUGCACAUCGCUUGUGACCUCAUCAGGCUGGGCGUCGAUGCGAACACAGCCAACGACUGAGGCUGUUCCACCGUUCACCUGGCCGUGACGUACAGCUUUGUGGAGGUCAUUCAGUGAUGGACCUCAGCCGACACUCAUGCCUCCCCGAGCCUUUGGAGAGAGACCGUCUCCUCAAAAUGGCAUUCCUUCUGCAUCAUUGGCUCCGUAGGACAUCGUCUGAUUUGUCUUUCCCAGUUGCUUGAUGGAACAUUCCGGCUCAAGCCUUUUCCUUAAGCAGGUUUGCCUCAGGCCCCAUUAUCUUACCAUGAUCCAUCAUGCCGACCCUGCUUUCCACCCUAAUGGAUCAUCUCUAUGCUUCAUUCGCUGCCAGAAAUGGUGGUGGUUUGGCCUCCCUGUUCAGCUUGUCCAUCUUUUUGCACGUCUGUGUAAAUCCUUCAGUGGCAUGCUAAUUGGAACACCACUUCACCUUUGCAUUAAAUCACUCAAGUUUCCCAUGUAAUGUGCGCCUCCCAUGCUUUGGGCUCGGGGAUAGGGGGGUCACUGGGCCAUCACUGUUGACAGCCAAGAACUUGUUCCAGGUGCUGGAGAUCCAUCAGCAGCACUGCAGGCAUGAGCCUUUUGGCUGCCUCCUGACUGCUGCUGGGCCUGGGAUACUCUGCUUCCCCUUUUGGUGACAAAAUCAGAUAUGUGACACAGUAAUUAGCUAGGAUAGUAGUUAAAGUGAUAGUUAAGGAUAUUAACUUCCAUGGAUGACCCGAAGGUUGCCAGGUCAAGUGUCAGAAACAAUCCUACAACAAUGUCCUUGAGCAAAACCACUUAACCCCAAUUGCUCCGGUUAUACAUCAAUGUGUGUAAAUUGUAGUUUACUAAUGUAAUAAUAAUACUACCUUGUCUAAGCUUUGGCAAAGGUUUAUUUUAUGGGGCUAGAUAUUGUAGAUA